rnacentral:lncRNA from 1 species
UUUGGGGUCACCGAGGUCUUGGGGUCACCAAAUUUUGGGGACUUUGGGGUCUUUUGGGGACUUUGGGGUUUUGGGGCCAUUCAAGUGCAUUUUGGGGCCAUCCAAGCGCAUUUUGGGUCAAUUCAACCAUUUUUCGGCAUCCCCGAGCUCUUGGUGUCCCCGAGGGCUCUCGGUGCGUUGGGGCUGCCCCCAAACUUUGCGUUUCUCACCCCAAAUUUUGGGGAUAUUGGGGUCUUUUGAGGACAUUCAAGUGCGUUUUGGGGGAAUUCAAGUGCGUUUUGGGGUCACCGAGGUCUUGGGGACGCCAAAUUUUGGGGACUUUGGGGUCUUUUGGGGACUUUGGGGUUUUGGGGACAUUCAAGUGCAUUUUGGGGAAAUUCAAGCGUCUUUUGGGGUCCCUGAGGUCUUGGGGACACCAAAUUUUGGGGAUUUUGGGGUCUUUUGGGGAUGUUCAAGCGUCUUUUGGGGUCACCGAGGUUUUGGGGACGCCAAAUUUUGGGGACUUUGGGGUCUUUUGGGGACAUUCAGGUGUCUUUUGGGAACACCGAGGGGUCUUGGGGACACCAAAUUUUGGGGAUUUUGGGGUCUUUUGGGGAAAUCAAGUGUGUUUUGGGGACUUUGGGGUCUUUUGGGGACAUUCAAGUGUGUUUUGGGGUCACCGAGGUCUUGGGGACACCAAAUUUUGGGGACUUU